GAUGAACGCUGGCGGCGUGCUUAACACAUGCAAGUCGAACGGAAAGGCCCUGCUUGCAGGGUACUCGAGUGGCGAACGGGUGAGUAACACGUGGGUGAUCUGCCCUGCACUUCGGGAUAAGCCUGGGAAACUGGGUCUAAUACCGGAUAGGAGCCAUUUUUAGUGUGAUGGUUGGAAAGUUUUUUCGGUGUAGGAUGAGCUCGCGGCCUAUCAGCUUGUUGGUGGGGUAAUGGCCUACCAAGGCGGCGACGGGUAGCCGGCCUGAGAGGGUGGACGGCCACAUUGGGACUGAGAGACGGCCCAGACUCCUACGGGAGGCAGAAGUGGGGAAUAUUGCACAAGGGGCGCAAGCCUGAUGCAGCGACGCCGCGUGGGGGAUGACGGCCUUCGGGUUGUAAACUCCUUUCGCUAGGGACGAAGCUUUUUGUGACGGUACCUAGAUAAGAAGCACCGGCUAACUACGUG
rnacentral:rRNA from 1 species